UACGAAGGGGGCUAGCGUUGCUCGGAAUCACUGGGCGUAAAGGGUGCGUAGGCGGGUCUUUAAGUCAGAGGUGAAAUCCUGGAGCUCAACUCCAGAACUGCCUUUGAUACUGAGGAUCUUGAGUUCGGGAGAGGUGAGUGGAACUGCGAGUGUAGAGGUGAAAUUCGUAGAUAUUCGCAAGAACACCAGUGGCGAAGGCGGCUCACUGGCCCGAUACUGACGCUGAUGCACGAAAGCGUGGGGAGCAAACAGG
rnacentral:rRNA from 1 species